CAGGUGCGCAGUGACCCCCGGACCCUCCCUCCUCAGGCGCUCGCCGAUCCCGGGCCUCCCCCUCCUCAGAUUUGCCAAGUUGUUUCUCAUUAAACCUAAACCAACUCUUCAGCCGCGCCGCCUCGGGGACCGUAAGCCCCGCUCUGGUGGACGCCUGGAGUCGCCGCCUCCCGAGAGUCCACACCCCAUCUUGUCUCCAGCCUGCGCUGGGAAGAAGCUGAGGUCUGGAGGUCUUCCUCUGAAGGAGCACAGUCCAGGGAGCCACAGAAGGCUGCCUUGAGGAGUGGAACUGCUUCAGGGAUCAAUGCAAAGUGUCCCCUGUCAGGAGAAAAACCACUCAGAGGAGGUAAAGGCCCAUGAGCCAUUCCUGAGCUGCUAGAACAAAUUUCCUAAGAUGGUUGAAUAGCAGGAAACAGAGACAAAAACAAAAAACAGAAAACACCAGAGGCAGGUUACACAAGAAAGCUCUCCUUAAGCAGGGAACACAGAAAAUAAACAUAAUUAGCACUACAUUCCUGGAGACAUAUCGUGAUUACACAGACAUCAAACUCAACUGGGCUUCUUGUGUGGGAUGCGC
rnacentral:lncRNA from 10 species